GACGAACGCUGGCGGCGUGCUUAACACAUGCAAGUCGAACGGUGAAGGGGUCUGCUUUUGUGGGCCCUGGAUGAGUGGCGAACGGGUGAGUAACACGUGAGUAACCUGCCCCCUUCUUCUGGAUAACCGCAUGAAAGUGUGGCUAAUACGGGAUAUUCUGGGUCUGUCGCAUGAUGGGUCUGGGAAAGAUUGCGCCUUUGGGUGUUUUUGGUGGGGGAUGGGCUCGCGGCCUAUCAGCUUGUUGGUGGGGUGAUGGCCUACCAAGGCGGUGACGGGUAGCCGGCCUGAGAGGGUGGACGGUCACACGGGGACUGAGACACGGCCCAGACUCCUACGGGAGGCAGCAGUGGGGAAUAUUGCACAAUGGGCGCAAGCCUGAUGCAGCGACGCCGCGUGAGGGAUGGAGGCCUUCGGGUUGUAAACCUCUUUCGCCAGUGAAGCAGGCCUGCUCCGUGUGGGUGGGUUGACGGUAGCUGGAUAAGAAGCGCCGGCUAACUACGUG
rnacentral:rRNA from 1 species